rnacentral:rRNA from 1 species
GACGAACGCUGGCGGCGUGCUUAACACAUGCAAGUCGAACGGAAAGGCCCUGCUUUUGUGGGGUGCUCGAGUGCCGAACGGGUGAGUAACACGUGAGUAACCUGCCCUUGACUUUGGGAUAACUUCAGGAAACUGGGGCUAAUACCGGAUAGGAGCUCCUGCUGCAUGGUGGGGGUUGGAAAGUUUCGGCGGUUGGGGAUGGACUCGCGGCUUAUCAGCUUGUUGGUGGGGUAGUGGCUUACCAAGGCUUUGACGGGUAGCCGGCCUGAGAGGGUGACCGGCCACAUUGGGACUGAGAUACGGCCAAGACUCCUACGGGAGGCAGCAGUGGGGAAUAUUGCACAAUGGGCGGAAGCCUGAUGCAGCAACGCCGCGUGCGGGAUGACGGCCUUCGGGUUGUAAACCGCUUUCGCCUGUGACGAAGCGUGAGUGACGGUAAUGGGUAAAGAAGCACCGGCUAACUACGUG